GGGGCCUUGGCUCAGUCAUGGAGCAUCUACUUUGUAUGCAGGGUGUCCCAGGUUCAAUCCCUGGCAGCCUCA
rnacentral:tRNA from 1 species